GAUCAGCAGUGCCCCUCACUCUGCCCUCCCCUAGAGGAGGGUCCAGUGCAAACCUCCCACUGCUUUAAAUGGAGCCAGUGUCAGUGUGAGAACCAGAGCAGCAGUCAGUGGGACUCAGUCUGUGCUUUAACUCAGUGCUUCUCCUUCUCUCCUGCAGUCAUGAAGCUCCUACCAGCCCUGCUGCUGCUCACAGCACUCACUCUCUCAGGUGUUCAGGGUGAGAUUGUCCUGACAGAGUCUGAAGCAGUGGUAAAGAGACCAGGAGACUCUCACAAACUGACCUGUACAGCCUCUGGGUUCACAUUCAGCAGCACCUGGAUGUCCUGGAUCAAACAGGCUCCUGGGAAGGGGCUGGAGUGGGUGGCCAGCAUCAAUGAGGGUGGUGGCAGCACAUAUUAUGCCACGUCUGUUAAAGGAAGAUUCACCAUUUCCAGAGACAACAGCAAGAACCAGCUGUAUUUACAGAUGAACAGGCUGACAGCUGAAGACACUGCUGUGUAUUACUGUGCCAGAAACCCACAGUGAGAGAGAGUGAGGGGA